rnacentral:rRNA from 1 species
AUUGAACGCUGGCGGCAGGCUUAACACAUGCAAGUCGAGCGAGCGGCGGACGGGUGAGUAAUGUCUGGGAAACUGCCUGAUGGAGGGGGAUAACUACUGGAAACGGUAGCUAAUACCGCAUACCAUCAGAUGUGCCCAGAUGGGAUUAGCGAGGAGGUGGGGUAAUGGCUCACGUAGGCGACGAUCCAUAGCUGGUCUGAGAGGAUGACCAGCGGCACGGGAAGUGAGACGCGGUCCAGACGCCUCCGGGAGGCAGCAGGGGGGAAUAUGGCACAAUGGGCGCAAGCCUGAUGCAGCCAUGCCGCGUGUGGGAAGAAGGCCUUCGGGUUGUAAAGCACUUUCAGCGAGGAGGCGUUACUCGCAGAAGAAGCACCGGCUAACUCCGUGCCAGCAGCCGCGGUAAGAC